UACAGAGGGUGCAAGCGUUAAUCGGAAUUACUGGGCGUAAAGCGCGCGUAGGCGGAUUGCUAAGUCAGGGGUGAAAUCCUGGAGCUCAACUCCAGAACUGCCUUUGAUACUGGCGACCUUGAGUCCGGGAGAGGUGAGUGGAACUGCGAGUGUAGAGGUGAAAUUCGUAGAUAUUCGCAAGAACACCAGUGGCGAAGGCGGCUCACUGGCCCGGUACUGACGCUGAGGUGCGAAAGCGUGGGGAGCAAACAGG
rnacentral:rRNA from 1 species